rnacentral:rRNA from 1 species
UACGGGGGGAGCAAGCGUUGUUCGGAUUUACUGGGCGUAAAGGGCGCGUAGGCGGCCACCGCAAGUCAAUUGUGAAAUCUCCGGGCUUAACUCGGAACGGCCAAGUGAAACUGUCAUGCUAGAGUGCAGAAGGGGCAAUCGGAAUUCUUGGUGUAGCGGUGAAAUGCGUAGAUAUCAAGAGGAACACCUGAGGUGAAGACGGGUUGCUGGGCUGACACUGACGCUGAGGCGCGAAAGCCAGGGGAGCAAACGGG